UAAUUUUGGUUGUUAAUGUGUAUGUUAAAAGUAAUAUACUAAAUACAGCAUAAUAUUUAUUUUAGGCUGCACAGGAAAAAGAUUUUUCUCACAAACAAAAUUCUACCACAAGAUUUCAAAACAAUCAAGAAAUAAAUGCUGAGAAUGAAGUACCUUUAGAUGAGGGUUUUGAAUUUUUUACAUCAACUUUUGAAGACCACUCCAAUAUGAAAGAACUUGAUACAAAUGUUGGACAGAAAUCAACAGAAGGCUGCAUUCAAAACAUCUGUAGCUUAAAUGAGCAAACUCCACUGCUUAUCCAUGUGAAAGAAAUGUUGACAGAAUUACUUGAAGUAAAAUCUCCUGCCUGUAAUUUCAAUAAAGUAGACAAGGAAAAAGGAUGGAACCAACUCUUUAUUCCAAGCACAUCACCAGGUGAUAUAAAUUUCCAAAGAUAAUAUAACAUUGAUACUGUUUUAUAGACAUAAAUAUAAAUAUUAUGUC
rnacentral:lncRNA from 1 species